rnacentral:rRNA from 1 species
AACGAACGCUGGCGGCAGGCUUAACACAUGCAAGUCGAACGCCCCGCAAGGGGAGUGGCAGACGGGUGAGUAACGCGUGGGAAUCUACCUAGUUCUACGGAACAACAGUUGGAGACGACUGCUAAUACCGUAUACGCCCUAUGGGGGAAAGAUUUAUCGGAAUUAGAUGAGCCCGCGUAAGAUUAGCUAGUUGGUGAGGUAAUGGCUCACCAAGGCGACGGUCUUUAGCUGGUCUGAGAGGAUGAUCAGCCACACUGGGACUGAGACACGGCCCAGACUCCUACGGGAGGCAGCAGUGGGGAAUAUUGGACAAUGGGCGCAAGCCUGAUCCAGCCAUGCCGCGUGAGUGAUGAAGGCCUUAGGGUUGUAAAGCUCUUUCAGUAGGGAAGAUAAUGACGGUAUCCGAAGAAUAAGCAUCGGCUAAUUCUGUGCCAGCAGCCGCGGUAAGAC